rnacentral:rRNA from 1 species
GUGGAUUAGAUACCCUGGUAGUCCUGGCAGUAAACGGUGCACGCUUGGUGUGAGGGGAAUCGACCCCCCUUGUGCCGGAGCUAACGCGUUAAGCGUGCCGCCUGGGAAGUACGGUCGCAAGACUAAAACUCAAAGAAAUUGACGGGGACCCGCACAAGCGGUGGAGUAUGUGGCUUAAUUCGAUGCAACGCGAAGAACCUUACCAAGGCUUGACAUGGAUUUCUAAGCACGUGAAAGCGUGUGACCCUUCGGGGAACUUCCACAGGUGCUGCACGGCCGUCGACAGCU